CCCGAGAAAACGGCGCGGACUCCCGGCGGGGGUCCCGCGGUCCCUAGGGCACUGUCCCUUUAAGAAGAAUUGAGAGGAGAAGAAAACGAAGGAGUGGGGAUAAAGUGGUGUGAGGCUGAAGUCGGAAGCUGGGGGCAGGGAGAGAGAGUAGGAAAUGACUAGGGGCCAGGCCCCUCUCUACAUAAGUCCAGGCUGGGCGCCGGGAGGGCGAGCGGCCGGCUCUCUGGGUUCCGGGGCCCGCGCUCCAGCUCGCUCCGGGCGGUCUUGCUCAGACCAGUCCGGACAGCGACCUCGAUUAGAGAAGGUUGCCCUCGGGCUGUGACAGGUGGCGGGGCGGUGGCCCAAGGCCUCCCCCCACAGCUAGUCUGUCGGGAAGGAAACUGAGGCCCAGAAAGAAGGAAGUGACUUGCCGAAGGUAAUGCUGAAGAACGGAACGGAAGUACAGCAUCAUAGAAUUUAGAGAUCGUUUAAUACAGGGAUUCUUCACUUUUUUGUGUCAAGGUCAUAUUUGGAACUCCAGUGAAGUCUGUGGACCCCAUCCUUCUCUGAAUAAUGGUUUCAUAUACCAAAAAUAAAACACAUGGAAUUACAAAGGAAA